CUUACCUAGUGUUUUUCUCAAUUUAGGAUUAUUUGGUCCCAGACUAUGGCAAGCCUUCACGUAGCAUGCCCAGGAGGAAGUCGGAGUACUAGAUUCCGGCCGACGAGAUAUGUACCAGCUCUGUGACGGAUCUUAACCUGGAGGUGUGAGCCGGGUGCAUAUGCAGGGCAGGGCCGAGGCUUCUCUAUCACAGAAGAAGGUUCCAAACGUACUAGGAGUCCCGCGGACCUAAUCGCAGGCCCUGAGUACACCAGUCAUACAGUGUAUUGUCUCAUGUAUUUCUUGCUAAUACCCAUCGUUCCCCUCCUGCCCGAGUGGUUCGAAAUAGGAAGAUUUAAGGAAACCGUGAAUCUUCGAGCAAAGCGACAUUCUUCGAUGUGCUCUCCCUGAGGAGUAUGGUGCACAGUGUAAACAACGAACAGCAACCCGGACGGAAGAAAAAAAUUGGGGCUAUUUCUGGUCUGUUAAUUGCUAAGUCCAACAUACCAGUCCGUUAGUCACUCUGCAUAUAAAUACUGGCUUCUAAAGAAAGGAUAGAUCGCUUUCCUGAGAAUGUUUGACAAAUGGAGCGAGGCCUUGGCCGAUGAAUAGGACGCUUGUGUGGCGGACACACUAACGCACCUGGAGGUGUUGUCAGACGUUUGGGAGUAAAUACCUGACUGGCUGCAAUGAGACGGAGUUCAUGAGUCAUGGCUGAAAAGCAGUCUUUCAUAGAAUCUCAUAGGAAAUCAGAAAGUGUUUCUUUCCCUUAAAAACAGAACACGUACGGAACGAUUCAAUGCUACGUGCAACCUCACUUGUAUGCUACAUUCAGAGAAAAACUCAUAAAUCUCCUUUGGGUCACUGAUAAACAGUUUUAGAUUAUACCCGGUAACAGGAGG